GCUUCCAUCCCUGGCGGGCCGGCGGGCGGGUUCCCCAUCCAGGCCGCUGCACCUGUCAGGUGAGGGGGAGGAGAGGUUUGGCUGCCAGAUUCAACUGGAAAGGAACCAGUCCCAGUCCAGCCGCAACCUGGGAGUGGGAAGCUGGAGGCAGCCCAGACCUCCUGGAGCCCUGCAGUCCUGGGGCAGAGACAGAAUCAGGACACAGCUCGAGGGGAGCAAGCUGGAGGAGCAGGACCCUAGACCUCUGCAGCCCACACCAGGGGUCAUGGAGGGGAACAAGCUGGAGGAGCAGGACUCUAGCCCUCCACAGCCCACCCCAGGGCUCAUGAAGGGGGACAAGCGUGAGGAGCAGGGGCUGGGCCCCGAACCUGCGGCGCCCCAGCAGCCCACGGCGGAGGAGGAGGCCCUGAUCGAGUUCCACCGCUCCUACCGAGAGCUCUUCGAGUUCUUCUGCAACAACACCACCAUCCACGGCGCCAUCCGCCUGGUGUGCUCCCAGCACAACCGCAUGAAGACGGCCUUCUGGGCAGUGCUGUGGCUCUGCACCUUUGGCAUGAUGUACUGGCAAUUCGGCCUGCUAUUCGGAGAGUACUUCAGCUAC
rnacentral:sRNA from 1 species